rnacentral:rRNA from 1 species
GAUGAACGCUGGCGGCGUGCCUAAUACAUGCAAGUCGAGCGAACAGACGAGGAGCUUGCUCCUCUGACGUUAGCGCCGGACGGGUGAGUAACACGUGGAUAACCUCCCUAUAAGACUGGGAUAACUCUUGGAAACCGGAGCUCAUAUCGGAUAAUAUAUUUAACCGCAUGUUUCAAUAGUGAAAGACGGUUUUGCUGUCACUCAUAGAUGGAUCCGCGCCGUAUUAGCUAGUUGGUAAGGUAACGGCUUACCAAGGCGACGAUGCGUAGCCGACCUGAGAGGGUGAUCGGCCACACUGGAACUGAGAAACGGUCCAGACUCCUACGGGAGGCAGCAGUAGGGAAUCUUCCGCAAUGGGCGAAAGCCUGACGGAGCAACGCCGCGUGAGUGAAGAAGGUCUUCGGAUCGUAAAACUCUGUUAUUAGGGAAGAACAAAUAUGUAAGUAACUAUGCACGUCUUGACGGUACCUAAUCAGAAAGCCACGGCUAACUACGUG